ACCAAAAGAAAGUGUAUAGCUGACGCGCUGGAGGACCUGGAGCCAGAACAUUGGAGAAGUUCCGCCACCAGCUUUUGGACCGUAAGAGAGAGUCGCGCGUCAGGCGCGCCAUGGUGAGGUAAAGCUUCCUGGACAUCGCUAGUGGUCUGGUUUCGACCUUCACGAGGCGGUGCUGUUAAGGUGACUGAGGAGUUAUUGAAGGAGAUUGGCUGCCAUGAUGUUGCAAAGGACUUAGUUGAAGACGUGAGUGCACAAUCUGGCGGCAACGGAGGAGCAACCGGUGGGGUAGCAUGGCAGACGAGGUGCACUUUGUGGAUUAA